CCUGGAUUGUUUAUAGCACAAAUCAUGCAAGCUUGGGUGUGUUUAGCUGCUACAACAGUAAAUCCGGGUGCUACCCAAUAGGUAUUUACUUAUGCUGUUCAUGUGCAUCUUAGAUAGAUGUGUAGGUCCAUGGGCAAUCUGGGCCAUCAUGGGGUACAAUACUUGUGGCAAACACAGCCUUUUACAUUUCCUCCACAUUCUG